rnacentral:rRNA from 1 species
AUUGAACGCUGGCGGCAGGCCUAACACAUGCAAGUCGAACGAGUGGCGGACGGGUGAGUAAUGUCUGGGAAACUGCCCGAUGGAGGGGGAUAACUACUGGAAACGGUAGCUAAUACCGCGUACCAUAGGAUAUGCGCAGAUGGGAUUAGCUUGUAGGUGAGGUAACGGCUCACCUAGGCGACGCGCCCUAGCUGGUAUGAGAGGAUGACCAGCCACACGUGGACUGAGAAACGGUCCAGACUCCUACGGGAGGCAGCAUGUGGGAAUAUUGCACAAUGUUCGCAAGCUUGAGGCAUCAAUGACGCGGGUAGUAAGAAGGCCUUCGGGUUGUAAAGUACUUUCAGCGGGGAGGCGUUACCCUCAGAAGAAGCACCGGCGAACGCCGUGCCAGCAGCCGCGGUAAUUC